rnacentral:rRNA from 1 species
UACGGAGGGUGCGAGCGUUGUCCGGAAUCACUGGGCGUAAAGGGCGCGUAGGCGGCGCGGUAAGCGUGCGGUGAAAGCCCGGGGCUCAACCCCGGGUCGGCCGUGCGGACUGCCGGGCUCGAGCACUGUAGAGGCAGGUGGAAUUCCGGGUGUAGCGGUGGAAUGCGUAGAGAUCCGGAAGAACACCGGUGGCGAAGGCGGCCCGCUGGGCAGUGGCUGACGCUGAGGCGCGACAGCGUGGGGAGCAAACAGG